AUGCUCUGCGCGCCUACGUCGGCUGAGAGCAGCAUGUGCUUCGCUGCUGUGCUCCAGCUAUGGCUCAGUGCGGCUCCGGCUCUUCAUGGAUGAGCAUCGUACGGUCGGGACUCAAGCAAGGACCAUCACUGCGCUGGACCACCAGGAGGAAAUCAGCUUCUUUUACACUUUACCGGAAAUAAUCACACUGAUCGAUCUGCUGGAUUUGUCAGAUUACCGAUCAAAUCAACGAACCAUCGGACGCAUAAAAAGGAUUUAAUGUCACAGCGCUGUCACACGUGGAGUUAUUAUUAUUAUUAUUCGUAUAAGUAAAACUAGACGAUGGCAACAGCUGGUGGAGUCAAUACUCCAGCUUGGGGUCGUCCUGUAGGAUUUAAGGAUAUACUGUCUCUCAUGCGGGAUGAGUGGUGUCCAUUACUCAGCUGCUGGACAAGCCGUUUGGCGGACAGAGGAGUCUCUUGGGAUACUUUACGCGCGUGUCACAGUGCACAGAUGGGCAGUGCAGUGACAUGGUUUUGGAGAUCGAUACUUGUUUCGCUGGAUUUUGGCACUUUGAAAGGAAUAUCCUGGAAUAUCUUUCUAGAACGAUGCCCAGAAGAAGUCCUCCAAUUUGGAAAGUGACAUCUCUUCAUCCAGCUGUGAAGGACUCCGAAUUCUUGGAACAAGAUGUCGACCUUUGAUUGUUUCCAAGUCAUCUAAUGAUGAUUUCAGGUGAGCGCUGAGAAGAGGCUGACUAAUGGAAACAUGAUCUCAAGGGACUCAGCAGGAUCCAACUAAAUCCUGGAUUGGAUGUUGGACCAGCUUCCCUUGCAGCAGAUGUUCACUUCUGGCAUCUCCCGAACAAUCUCACUCUCAGGAUCCAGAGCUGGCAGUUUGGACGUGGAGGAGCGGUGACAUAAAAUCAGCAGGACAUUGGAGUGUUGUCUGCUGCUUUAUGGAACGGAUCAGUCAGAUCCGUCUGGAGAGGUGCUGGAUAGGAAAAUCGGAUUCACAAAAACUGUAUUUACCACAAUGGAUCUACAAAUUAUUUAACUUUUUCAAAAUUGAACCUGGAUUCUUAAUUUUUUUCCACCUGCCUACAUACAUCCGCCUAGGAUACAGAAUCAACAAGUUCCUGAACUGCAAAUGGAAAAUAAUCUGUGUUUUUUCAUCGGUUGUAUUUUUAAGCCCUUGCACCACAGCGUCACGUACAUAGUUCAUCUGUUUAAACAGAGUGUUUAAUUAAUUAAUACACAUGUCAUCUCUGUUCCUCAGAGGGAUUAGUCAAUCAUAAAAAUGAAACUCUUAUGACACCUUGUAAAUGAGAUCACAAAGAAGUGUUUGUCAAGGUGCAAACCUAAACCUCAUCUAUUGACACUGGGUAUCAUUGUGACACAUUGGAAGCCUCUGUUAAUAAACCUGUCAGACAGUUUAUUCUCAUCAUGAUUUAUGAAUCCAUAAAUUUUGUUGUGUCUGGUAAAGCCUGUUAGUAAAAAAUUAAAAAAGUGUAUCCAA